CAACGGCCCAAUCCUCGGGCUCGACAAAUGACAUCCAGUUGAGGCCGUGCGCCUCGGCGGAGCAAAAACACACCUAGCUAGCUUGGCUGGCUAGUUCGCUAGCUUCCGUUACCUCCCGGUCAACGAUUAACGACGCCGUUCAUAUGACAUCAAGGGGUCCUGGUUUGAAGCCCUAAUUCCAGCAAGGCAAAUCAGGGUUGGCUACUCUAUCCUCGUGCCCAGCUGUAGGCAGGACCUUACCUUCUGCCCCCAAUUGAACUGAACUACACACACACCUACAACCUUAUUCCCCUCAAUGGAACUCAAUUGAAACAGACUACACCCACACGCACCUACACACUCAUCCCUCUCACACUAGAAUGAACUAGAGUUCAAUGGACCGCCUGACUUCCCCUGAACACACACACAUCCACACACGCCACUCAACCCCCCCCUCCCCCCCCAUGUUGGAGUACUAGUCUGUUUCUUUUAUCAUUUGAAUUGUGGACAUUUAAUUUUGUACAUGAAUGAUAUAUUGAAUAGUUCUUUAUUGCUUUAAUGGCAAUGUAAUAUUUUAUGUUUGCGUACCAACCACAUAUGGUGGAUUAUUGUUUGACUUUGAAUACAACCAACUUUCUUUGGAGUAAUUGAAUUAGUGUUUGGUGGUUUUCUUUUAUUGGUGUAUGUUUGUAGUGAAGGUAGCUUGUGAUCUAGGCUAAUAUCCUACUAAUUGACCGUUUUUAAGUGACAGGUUAGGAUUAACGUUAUUCUCUCAUCUAGCGCCCAACCUUUUUUGGAUAUUUUGAUCAAUCUCAGCUACAAUACCGUAUAGGAAAAGUUCCUUUGGACAGUCAGCGUACCGAGCAGCACAUACCUGGAACACGAUACCCACAGAACUAAGAAACAUUUCCUCUCUCACCGCCUUUUCCAAAGCUAUAAAACGGUGGUCAUUGUUUUUACAUAUUCCUGUAAGUAUUUUACUUGUCAUAUUAUUUGUGCUUGUCUUGUUUUGUCUGUUUAUGUAAUUUGUGCUUUUAUAUUUUAUCCAUGCUUCUGUGUUGUUUGCUUAUGAUUAUAUGUGUAUUUUUUUUUCAUGUUUUCUGUAUGCCAUGUUUUAAUGUUUCUUUCUUACGACAUCAACCUGCUAGGGACUCCAGAUGAAAAUUAGUCUAUGGCUAAAUCUGGCUUAAUUACAUUUUGGACAUUGUCCUUAUGUUCAUUAAUGUGCGCUGUCCCUUUUAAUUAAAUAAAUAAACAAACAUUAAUGUUACCUUAAAGAUACUGCCUCCGCCCUACACUCACUAAGCUUUUCUGGGCAGCUCUUAGGUGUGAGUAUGGAUAGUUCCUGGGCAACAACUUCCUAAUGAUAUGCGCAAACCAUAGACUGUAUAUAAAAAGUGCAAACUAAUUAAACAAGGAUUUAAAACA